GAAAACUGUAAUGAAGAAAUGAGUCAAAGGACAGUCAACAGAAUUUUACUGGGCAGGGAUAUAUGUUCUCAGUCGAAGGUGGAAUAUUGCAAUUAAGAGAAACGGUGACUAUGUAGAGAAGUAGGGAUGUGAUCCACAGAGGACCGGCUUCAUUUUAAUGUAUGAUACGUGUUCCUGUGUUGAUAAUUAUAUCUAUCCUAAACAAAAUGGCAUUACUUUUUACUCACCCUCGUACUUGAGAGGCGAUUUUUACAGUU